GGUGGCUCAGUGGUAGAGUGCUUGCUUUGCAUGCAUGAGGUCCUGGGUUCGCUUCCUUAGCACCA
rfam:Dipodomys ordii contig_32394, whole genome shotgun sequence.